rnacentral:rRNA from 1 species
GAUGAACGCUGGCGGCGUGCCUAAUACAUGCAAGUCGAGCGAACAGACGAGGAGCUUGCUCCUCUGACGUUAGCGGCGGACGGGUGAGUAACACGUGGAUAACCUACCUAUAAGACUGGGAUAACUUCGGGAAACCGGAGCUAAUACCGGAUAAUAUAUUGAACCGCAUGGUUCAAUAGUGAAAGACGGUUUGCUGUCACUUAUAGAUGGAUCCGCGCCGCAUUAGCUAGUUGGUAAGGUAACGGCUUACCAAGGCAACGAUGCGUAGCCGACCUGAGAGGGUGAUCGGUCACACUGGAACUGAGACACGGUCCAGACUCCUACGGGAGGCAGCAGUAGGGAAUCUUCCGCAAUGGGCGAAAGCCUGACGGAGCAACGCCGCGUGAGUGAUGAAGGUCUUCGGAUCGUAAAACUCUGUUAUUAGGGAAGAACAAAUGUGUAAGUAACUAUGCACGUCUUGACGGUACCUAAUCAGAAAGCCACGGCUAACUACGUG